GUACCUCAUAUUCAGAGUUAAGCUAAAAGUCUAGUAACAUGAUUUCUUGAUCAUAAAGUGCUCUUCUUACGCUGUUGGAAGGAGGAGCUAAAAGUUUUCAUUACCCAGCUCCUGCUUUUUACGAGUCAGUUACAGAAAUGUGCAGCAUUGAAUCUCAUUGUCAGCUUUUUCCUUUUAUUGGUCAGAUGUUGUCCCUGGUCUUGAUCAUCAUUUCUCUGUUCAAAGAAAAUGCGGAUGCAAAUACAAUAAAUCCACUGGUCCCAGAGAAGCACAUUACAGCAGGAAACAAUGUUACCCUCUCCUGUAAAUACAGUGGCACGGUUAACACACUGCAGUGGUAUCGGCAAUAUCCAGGAUCCCCAAUAGAGUUUCUCAUUUUUGCCACUGAGCUCAGGGGCCAGUCAGAGUCUGCACUUCGACUUUCAUCUACAGCUGAUAGAGGCAACAAGCAUAUGCAUCUGAACAUCCUUUUAACAGAAAAGUUAGAUUCUGCAAUAUACUACUGUGCUCUGGUGCCCACAGUGACAGAAAACACUGCAACAUUGUACAAAAACCUGGAACCAGUAGAAGCAGAUUUCCACAGACAUUAAGUGUGAUCACUCCGCUUGAAUAAAAUAAUAAAUAAUA